AUGCGGGUGGACGGGUCCUUCCUCUUCGGCCGCUCCGUCCUCCUGGACGCCGCGUCGCGCCCCGUGCUCACCGUGCAGCGCCGGCCGUCCCUGUUCGAGGCCCGCCGGACGUGGAAGGCGUUCAAGGGGGACAGCACGAGCUCCGACGACCUGCUCUUCUCCGCCGUCGUGCGGCCUUCGCUGACCAACACGGGGGACAUCCACGUGCACCUCGACGGCGAGAGGCGCCGCGACUUCGUCGGCGUUCGCCCCUGGUACCGCGGGACUGACUGCGCCAUCACCCACGCCGGCGCCACCGUUGCCCAGAUCGAAAGCUCGGGGGGAUUCUUGAGUCCGGCGAAGUAUGACGUCCGUGUCAACGAAGGCGUCUACCAUGCUUUCGUCCUGGGCCUCACCGUGGUUCUGGAGGGUAUACGUCUCGACGACGCCGAACAAGAGAGGUCACGAGCUAGAAAUAAUAAAAGGACUGUGCUAUUUCACGCUCGCUUUCCACUGAUUUUUUUCCUUCUUUCAAAAACCGUAAUAAAUCGCUAA
rnacentral:rRNA from 1 species